rnacentral:rRNA from 1 species
GAUGAACGCUGGCGGCGUGCUUAACACAUGCAAGUCGAGCGAAGCACUUAUCAUUGACUCUUCGGAGGAUUUGAUAUUUGACUGAGCGGCGGACGGGUGAGUAACGCGUGGGUAACCUGCCUCAUACAGGGGAAUAACAGUUAGAAAUGGCUGCUAAUGCCGCAUAAGCGCACAGGACCGCAUGGUCUGGUGUGAAAAACUGAGGUGGUAUGAGAUGGACCCGCGUCUGAUUAGGUAGUUGGUGGGGUAACGGCCUACCAAGCCGACGAUCAGUAGCCGGCCUGAGAGGGUGAACGGCCACAUUGGGACUGAGACACGGCCCAGACUCCUACGGGAGGCAGCAGUGGGGAAUAUUGCACAAUGGGGGAAACCCUGAUGCAGCGACGCCGCGUGAAGGAAGAAGUAUCUCGGUAUGUAAACUUCUAUCAGCAGGGAAGAAAAUG